GCGCCCAUAGCCCAAUUGGAUAGAGCAUCUGACUACGAAUCAGAAGGCUGCAGGUUCAACUCCUGCUGGGCGCA
rnacentral:tRNA from 3 species